UAGUGUAUAUUUCUGAAACUGGAAACAUAGUUUCACAAGGAAUUUAUUUUGUCUCAUCCUAUGAAAUAUUAUUAUAUAGACUGGACUAGACUUUCUUGUUGACAAAAAUGAAAAGGUCAGUUAGCAGUGUGGGUGUGAAGCUUAGAGCCCACAGCUUGCACCAGGCUUCUCGGAGUAUAAACAUGCCUGAAACCUUCAAGUUGGACUUGAAGUCACAAGAGCUCAAGCAUGUAGCUUGAUGGGAAACUGUGUUGGGAGACAAGAACUCAGUGCUACACAAGGAAGUCUACACAUUUUGUUAUUUCUUGUUCUUACGGCAAUGGACGUCUACACAAACUCUGUUACCUGGUCUCACAAUUGACUCAUGGGUUGACUUUAUGAGUUUCUUGUAUGUCUAGAUAAGCAAAAGUAAGAGUACAGUCACAAGAUAAAUAUCAAAGCAAUAACAUCAAUAAAAGCAUUAUGUCUGCCUUCUAACUUAAAGGAAUUUUUUGCACAAUGAACAAUCAAAUAGAAAAAAUAAGUGCAUAAGUACUAUAUACAGAAAAUAUAAACACAGAAAAUUAGUUAUGUAUGUGUAUAUUUUAAAUAGUAGACAUAAUGUUAAUAGAUUGAUCAGUAAUGGAUGGAUGGAAAAUAAUUUACAUUGGAAAUCUUGUUUAUUUUAGAUAAUAUUUAAACUUCACUUGUUAAGCUUAUACAUAAGCACAAUGUGACAUAUGUAUAAGUUCUAAGUGGCUACAUUGUUUUCCUAAAUCAUAUUUUAUGAAGCUACUGAAGCAUAAUAAUGUCUUUGUCUCAUAAAAAAUGUGAAUUAUGUUUGCCCUUUUGAUGGUAUCUGACAGAAGCCAUAAUAACAAAAUUAUACAUUGGCAAAGUUGAGCCCAUCAGCAAAAAUAGUUAAGUAAUAUUUGUCAUUUAUGAAAUGUCAGGAUAGAUAUACGAGCAUUAGCAGUAUCUAUAUUCAUGGGUGAUAAGUGACCUAAUAUGCUAAAUUAAUUCUCUCUUUUGAAUCUCAGGAAAAUGUGAAAUACUAAAUGAAAUCCAGCUGUAUAUAAAUCCCACUUUAUCGUUAAGAAAAACAUUGACUAUUUUUCCUUAGAAAUGCAGCUGUCAACUCUCUUACUAUAGAUCUAGAUUUACAUUAUGGUUUUAUUUCCUACCUAUUCAUUUUCAUCUAGAACACUUGUUUCAAGAAACAACAUUUGCUCUCUGUAAAAGAAAAGCAGGAUGUGCCGUUUCUUCCAAUGUGUCAAUGGAUGUUCUUGGGCACAGCACACAUUGUGUAAAUUCAAGGGACGCUCUUCUAGUUUUAUAAAAUAGGAGAACCUCUAUAUAUUCACAUGCAUUGUUGAAAUCAUAUGUCAGUAAUUCCAGAUAUCCCUCUCCUCGUGUGGACUAUUAGACUUUACUAUGUAUUCUAAUA